UGCUGGGCCACAGGCAGCACUGCGGUGUUUUACCCCAGAGAUACCUUGGCUGGCGGCAGAGUGCAGCGGGGCACAAGAUAGGACUCCGUUCUCCUCAGGAGAGAGCUUCUGGCGAUGGUGAAGAGAAGGAAGGA